GGCGAUGUGAUCUCCCCUCCAGGGGAGAGC
rnacentral:sRNA from 1 species